GAUGGUCCACCUUAUCAGGAAUCCCCGGUCCCAUAACCACCAAGGAUAGAAUAGACCAGAGAAGUUCCUUUGCUCAUAUUCCAUUUCCUAGUUCUAAUGAUCUGAAAAUCAGAAACAUUGUUCGGUUCCUUAGUUUGUAGAUAUUCAGUCACAGUAAUAGGCUAAAGCAUCUUCAAGUGUUGGUCUGUCAGAGAGGUAAGCUUGUCCCAGAGCUAGAGAUUUUUUUCAUAUGGGUCCUCGAGAAUUGUAGGAUCCAAUUUGGAUGAAUACCCAUAGAUUUUACUAUUGAAACUCAUAGAACACUUAGAGUUAUGACUGCUACCGCGAUAGAGGCUUUUGAAUUUGCUUCCUAUCAAUUGAAAGAUGCUGCAGUGACUUAGUAUGAGACAUGGGAAGAUUCUAGAGGGUCACCUCCGGUGUGGAUAGAGCUUAUUGAAGCCUUCUUUGAAUAUUUUCUACUGCUGAAGAUCAGGGAGGCUAGGGCCAGCGAGUUUUCAGCUCUUAGCCAGGUUUGCCACGGAGUUGGUUGCUACUAGACAAGCAAGGAUUCAUAUGUUUGUGAUUGGACUUAGGCCCCAUCUGUUCGGUGACACUCUACCACUUCAUUAAACAAAGAUAUGGAUAUCUCUAGGAUGAUGACCUUUCCAUAGUACACAAAGAAGCACAAGAAGAAGAUUCGGGCUAAUAGAGAAAGAGACUAGAGUACGAGGGCUAGGUCAGCUUGAAGUUAUGGGAGAGCUAAGGGUAGUAGUGGAGCAUUCUCAGUAGGAGACCGAUAGAGCCUUCAUAGUCAAUAGUUUAUUCAACCUCUAGUGCACCGUCUUAGUUUCUGAAACAUAGGUACGAUUACGGCGACCAGUCCCAAUUACUACAAGGCUAGAAUUCUAGUGUGUCAGGCCCACAGAUUUGGGGUAGUAUGAGUCAGGGGAGACCGCCUAGGCUCGUUGCAGUUAGUGUAGGAAAGCACACCUAUUGCCAUAUCAGUACGGAUCGAAUAAAUGUUAUUAGUAUGCGGUUGCUGGGUAUAUUUUGAGAAAUUGUCAAAGGCCUAUCAGUGGUUGAAUGGUAGUAGAGUGCAACAUACAGGGUCAUUAGUACCUUUCCCAUCUGUUGGCCCUUGGGCACCUACAUGCUGAGGAAGAUGUAAGGGUGGAGCGUCCAUAUGCAUGCUCUAGUUGGGUGGCAGGAAUCAAAGACACCAUAUGAUGUGGUUAUAGGUAUAUUAUCUGUUUCCUCUCAUGAUGUAUAGAAACUAAUAGCUCUGAUGGGGUAGUUCUAGAUCAGUUAGGUAAGAUGUUUUCUCCAUCUACUCCGGUUAAUGAGCUAGUUAUAGCCAAACAAGUUUUUCGGGGUUGUACUAUUUUGAUAUAUCACCAUGAUACGAUAGCAAACAUUAAUGUGUUAGAAACGGUUGCUUUUGAUGCAAUUAUUGUUAUGAAGUUAUUAUUAUCUUGUUAUGCUACACCCGAUUAUCAGGAUAAGAUCAUGAAAAUUAAUUUUUGGGGCGAGCCAGUCCUAGAUUUAAGGGUGUUGUUGUG
rnacentral:lncRNA from 1 species